GGGAGAGUUGAGUUACAAUUCUACAACCCGACUUGGCCAGAGUUUCACUCUUCUAGCACUAACAAUUUUGAUCACCUUGCAGUCCUAAGACAAGAUGAAAGAGCCCUUCCUCGCCACCAUCCAUCAUCGGAAUUGAGGAGAAGGAAAAUCUCUCUCCUCCGUAAAUUUUUGAUCAGCUUCCAACCAAUUCAGUCGUUGCCCAAAUGAUUCGAAACCAUCGAUGGACUCCUCUUGACGCAAGCUUUGAUUUUAUACUAACCAUGCCUCGAUCAAACACAGAACAAAAAAGUUGCUCAUCAGAUGGCCGAGAUCGAUCAGUACCUUUAAAUAGGUGAUAGGCUUCCAGUAAUGGGACCGUAUUUAGGAUAGAUCGAAGCUCCCUGUGGGUUGUCCUAAAAGGGAGGUUUGGUUCUAGGUACAGAGGAGAUCUAUACUUUCUAGAAGUAUUUAGCGUGGCUCACAACAACUUAUUAGGCAGAAUUCCAGACAUGAAAGGACAAUUCAGUACAUUCAAAAGUAACAGCUAUGAAGGGAACCCAUUUCUUUGUGGACCUCAAGUGGAAAGAAAAUGCAAUGAUCAUAAUGUUGAAUCACCUUCAUCACAAAUGGAGAAACACAUGAAGUCAAGGGGAAAUGGUAUGAAAUAGAUCAUGGAGUUUUCUUAGUAAGUUUUUCAAUAACUUUUAUCAUAUUCUUUUUGGCAGUCAUCACCUUUCUUCAUAUUCUUCCUCAUUGGCAACAAAGCUUGAUUUAUCACAGUAGAGAAUAUAUGUUUUCAUGUUAUUACUUUUCAUAUGAUAUUUUACUAAAGUCAUUUACUCGUUUUGUGUCGUUAAUUGAUGUCAUCAGUUCUUAAAUCUUCUAGAGCUGAUUUAUAGUG